rnacentral:rRNA from 1 species
UACGGAGGGUGCAAGCGUUAUCCGGAUUCACUGGGUUUAAAGGGUGCGUAGGCGGGCAGGUAAGUCAGUGGUGAAAUCUCCGGGCUCAACCCGGAAACUGCCAUUGAUACUAUCUGUCUUGAAUAUCGUGGAGGUAAGCGGAAUAUGUCAUGUAGCGGUGAAAUGCUUAGAUAUGACAUAGAACACCAAUUGCGAAGGCAGCUUACUACCCGAAUAUUGACACUGAGGCACGAAAGCGUGGGGAUCAAACAGG